rnacentral:rRNA from 1 species
UACAGAGGGGGCGAGCGUUGUUCGGAAUUACUGGGCGUAAAGGGCGCGUAGGCGGCCUGCUAAGUCAUACGUGAAAUCCCUCGGCUCAACCGAGGAACUGCGUCUGAUACUGGUUGGCUUGAAUUCGGGAGAGGGAUGCGGAAUUCCAGGUGUAGCGGUGAAAUGCGUAGAUAUCUGGAGGAACACCGGUGGCGAAGGCGGGUCUCUGGGCCGAUACUGACGCUGAGGAGCGAAAGCGUGGGGAGCGAACAGG